rnacentral:rRNA from 1 species
CACGUAGGUAAUCUGCCCUCGAGCUGGGGAUAACGUUUCGAAAGAGACGCUAAUACCCGAUAAGACCACAGACUGUCCGCAGUCAGUGGCCAAAGGAUGGGAGUCUUCGGACCCAUCCACUUGAGGAGGAGCCUGCGGCUCAUCAGCUUGUUGGUAAGGUAACGGCUUACCAAGGCUAAGACGGGUAGCUGGUCUGAGAGGAUGAUCAGCCACACUGGUACUGAAACACGGACCAGACUCCUACGGGAGGCAGCAGUGGGGAAUCUUGGUCAAUGGGCGCAAGCCUGAACCAGCGACGCC